UAGGGAAUCUUCGGCAAUGGGGGGAACCCUGACCGAGCAACGCCGCGUGAGUGAAGAAGGUUUUCGGAUCGUAAAGCUCUGUUGUUAAGGAAGAACGAGUGUGAGAAUGGAAAGUUCAUACUGUGACGGUACUUAACCAGAAAGGGACGGCUAACUACGUGCCAGCAGCCGCGGUAAUACGUAGGUCCCGAGCGUUGUCCGGAUUUAUUUGGCGUAAAGCGAGCGCAGGCGGUUAGAUAAGUCUGAAGUUAAAGGCAGUGGCUCAACCAUUGUAGGCUUUGGAAACUGUUUAAAGUGAGUGCAGAAGGGGAGGGUGGAAUUCGAUGUGUAGCGGUGAAAUGCGAAGAUAUAUGGAGGAACACCGGUGGCGAAAGCGGCUCUCUGGUCUGUAACUGACGCUGAGGUUCGAAAGCGUGGGGAGCGAACAGG
rnacentral:rRNA from 1 species